rnacentral:rRNA from 1 species
GGAUAACUUACCCUUUAGGACUGGGAUAACUCUGGGAAACUGGGGAUAAUACUGGAUAUUAGGCUAUGCCUGGAAUGGUUUGCCUUUGAAAUGUUUUUUUUCGCCUAAGGAUAGGUCUGCGGCUGAUUAGGUCGUUGGUGGGGUAAUGGCCCACCAAGCCGAUGAUCGGUACGGGUUGUGAGAGCAAGGGCCAGGAGAUGGAACCUGAGACAAGGUUCCAGACCCUACGGGGUGCAGCAGGCGCGAAACCUCCGCAAUGUACGAAAGUGCGACGGGGGGAUCCCAAGUGUUAUGCUUUUUUGUAUGACUUUUCAUUAGUGUAAAAAGCUUUUAGAAUAAGAGCUGGGCAAGACCGGUGCCAGCCGCCGCGGUAACACCGGCAGCUCGAGUGGUAGCUGUUUUUAUUGGGCCUAAAGCGUUCGUAGCCGGUUUGAUAAGUCUUUGGUGAAAGCUUGUAGCUUAACUAUAAGAAUUGCUGGAGAUACUAUUAGACUUGAAGUCGGGAGAGGUUAGAGGUACUACCGGGGUAGGGGUGAAAUCCUAUAAUCCUGGGAGGACCACCUGUGGCGAAGGCGUCUAACUGGAACGAUCUUGACGGUGAGUAACGAAAGCCAGGGGCGCGAACCGGAUUAGAUACCCGGGUAGUCCUGGCCGUAAACGAUGUGGACUUGGUGUUGGAAUGGCUUUGAGUUGUUCCGGUGCCGAAGGGAAGCUGUUAAGUCCACCGCCUGGGAAGUACGGUCGCAAGACUGAAACUUAA